GGGUUCGAGGUCCAACAAGUUCUCUCUCUCCGAUUGAAGGUCCAACAAACGCUCCUCUCUUCUCUGUUGGCUUGUCAAGUGGCCUGAGAUUUCAGUUCCUACAGCCAUUUGAUAACAGUAGAAGAUUUCGACGCAAUUGUAUCUUCGGAUGGAUAUUAUACCAUCUGUGGAUUUGGCUCUCUGCUAUCUGGCUACGAUUGAAUUGUAAAUGAAGGAACUUCAAGAGAAAACGAAUCCUACCGGAUUGAGGCGGCGGCUCGGGAACAUGCCUUGACGCCACCAAGGGAAUUAGAGAAGCAUACAGAAUGAAGGCUGCAAAUGCAGCACACAAGACGUACUUCAAUGUUGUCUGCAUCCUUUCUCUCUCUCUCACUCAAGGUGAGCAGGGGACUAGAAUCCGAGCUCCAUUUAUAAUCCCAUAAGUUUCUUACAAGAAUGUGGCCUGUCAUUAUCAGUAGACCGUGUGGGGCAGUGCCAUUCACUCAAGACUCUCUUUCUCUCUCCUCUUGCUCUCCUCUAUGAGAAAUCUCUCACUUGAUGCACUUGUGGCUCCAAUUUGGGCUUUGGGUCAAGAAAGGAAAGAUGACCGCUAGUCAUAGCGUGUGGGGCAGUGCCAUUCACUCAAGACUCUCUUUCUCUCUCCUCUCGCUCUCCUCUAUGAGAAAUCUCUCUCUUGAUGCACUAGUGGCUCCAAUUUGGGCUUUGAGUCGAGAAAGGAAAGAUGACCGCUAGUCAUAAAAGCCAGUUAACCAUUGAUUCCGCACCAUUAGAAGGUGGUGACUCGGUGUGGGGUGUAAUAAGCUUGAUUGAGAUCACAUGGUGUACAUUUACAAGAGACGUAGUCGAAGUGCAACCUCACGCGUGGUACUUUGAAAUGGCAAUUGUAAACGAGAGGUAUGGCUGGCAACUGGUCUGGCUCAAGCUUGGCCAACAUGGGCCUAGCGUGUCUAGAAAAUCUAUAGCUAGACUGGGGUAUAAUUCAAGGCCAAAUUUUUGAAGCAGUUCGGGCCUGAGAAUAUCCCUCGUCUUUUUUAAUGAUGCUCGAGACUGACCAAAAACUCGGCGUUACCAGGUUGACUGCAAAUCAGACCAACACGGAAGACUUAGGGAUCGUUUGAUUGGCAGUUCGAAUACAUUAUGUCACUACUUCCAACCAUACCUUUUUAGCCCUAUCACUUAUUCUUGUUUAGCUUUUCACUUGAACCAACUCAUAUCUCAUAGAUUUUAUGAGUAUAUAUGUGUGUAAAUUGUAUUUGCAAUAAAUGAAUUUUUGACCAUUUCAAUC